rnacentral:lncRNA from 1 species
GUGACCUAUUACCUGGUAGCCUCUCAUCUUGGCAGUCUCUAUACUUCCCCAAAUAGGAAGAGUACUCCCACAAGUGAUACUCAUCUAUCUUUUGCAUGCGGUUCAUGAACCUCCAUACCUUUAGGUGGUAGUCUUGCUAGACCUUCAUCUUUAUCUUUACUGUGUGCCUUGGUGAAAAUUGGCCUCUAGCUUCCUAGUAACCAUUAAAAUGACACCAGCCUGAGAGUGCAGAUUAUAGUGAUUGGUUGUGCCUCCAUUUCUUGGCCUUUAAAUCAGUGAAGUGUCUUUGUUAUUUUGCAUUCUCUUUGUGGCCUCAGUAAACAGAUUUAGAAAGCAUUGAGGUAUGGUUUAUGGCAAGUUAGGAUUUUCAUUUCCAGGUUACUUUCCCUUCUUGUAAUAACGUGUUAGAAAUGAGAAGUAGAAAGAGGCUAGCAACAUGCAUUUAUAAAAACCAGAUUUAUUGCUCACUCUCUGGUCACCUGUUUCAAAAAGUUAAUUCUGAAUUGCGUUAGUGUUCAAGUUUGAGUGAUAGUAGGUUUAUUGAAUAGAAUCCAUGUGAGUGCAUUUAAAAAAAAAAAUAUUGCAUGUUGCUUUGACUUCUAAUUAAACAGACACUGUUCCUUC